rnacentral:rRNA from 1 species
CUUCGGAUGCUGACGAGUGGCGAACGGGUGAGUAAUACAUCGGAACGUGCCUAGUAGUGGGGGAUAACUACUCGAAAGAGUAGCUAAUACCGCAUGAGAUCUACGGAUGAAAGCAGGGGACCUUCGGGCCUUGUGCUACUAGAGCGGCUGAUGGCAGAUUAGGUAGUUGGUGGGGUAAAGGCUUACCAAGCCUGCGAUCUGUAGCUGGUCUGAGAGGACGACCAGCCACACUGGGACUGAGACACGGCCCAGACUCCUACGGGAGGCAGCAGUGGGGAAUUUUGGACAAUGGGCGAAAGCCUGAUCCAGCAAUGCCGCGUGCAGGAUGAAGGCCCUCGGGUUGUAAACUGUUUUUGUACGGAACGAAAAGCCUGGGGCUAAUAUCCCCGGGUCAUGACGGUACCGUAAGAAUAAGCACCGGCUAACUACGUGCCAGCAGCCGCGGUAAUACGUAGGGUGCAAGCGUUAAUCGGAAUUACUGGGCG